AGAGUUUGAUCCUGGCUCAGGAUGAACGCUGGCGGUAUGCCUAACACAUGCAAGUCGAACGAUGUCUUCGGACAUAGUGGCGGACGGGUGAGUAACGCGUGAGAAUCUGCCUCUAGGAUGGGGAUAACGGUUGGAAACGACCGCUAACACCCAAUAUGCCGUAAGGUGAAAAAUUUAUUGCCUGGAGAGGAGCUCGCGUCUGAUUAGCUAGUUGGUGGGGUAAGAGCUCACCAAGGCCUCGAUCAGUAGCUGGUCUGAGAGGAUGAGCAGCCACACUGGGACUGAGACACGGCCCAGACUCCUACGGGAGGCAGCAGUGGGGAAUUUUCCGCAAUGGGCGAAAGCCUGACGGAGCAAUACCGCGUGAGGGAGGAAUGCCUUUGGGUUGUAAACCUCUUUUCUCAGGGAAGAAGAUCUGACGGUACCUGAGGAAUAAGUAUCGGCUAACUCCGUGCCAGCAGCCGCGGUAAUACGGAGGAUGCAAGCGUUAUCCGGAAUCAUUGGGCGUAAAGCGUCCGCAGGUGGUUUCCAAAGUCUGCUGUUAAAGACUGGAGCUCAACUCCGGAACGGCGGUGGAAACUUGGAAACUAGAGUUCGGUAGGGGCAGCAGGAAUUCCCAGUGUAGCGGUGAAAUGCGUAGAUAUUGGGAAGAACAUCGGUGGCGAAGGCGUGCUACUGGACCGUAACUGACACUCAGGGACGAAAGCUAGGGGAGCGAA
rnacentral:rRNA from 1 species